GACGAACGCUGGAGGCGUGCUUAACACAUGCAAGUCGAACGAUGAAAUGGAGCUUGCUCCAUGGAUUAGUGGCGAACGGGUGAGUAACACGUGAAUAACCUGCCCUUAAUUUUGGAAUAACCCAGGGAAACCUGGGCUAAUACCGGAUAAGUAAACCUGUGGCAUCACAUGGUUUUGGCAAGUUUUUCGAUUAAGGAUGGAUUCGCGGCCUAUCAGCUUGUUGGUGAGGUAAUGGCUCACCAAGGCGACGACGGGUAGCCGGCCUGAGAGGGUGAACGGCCACACUGGGACUGGGACACGGCCCAGAGUCCUACGGGAGGCAGCAGUGGGGAAUAUUGCGCAAUGGACGAAAGUCUGACGCAGCGACGCCUCGUGAGGGACGAAGGUCUUCGGAUUGUAAACCUCUUUCAGCAGGGACGAAGCGAAAGUGACGGUACCUGCAGAAGAAGCACCGGCUAACUAUGUGCCAGCCGCCGCAGUAA
rnacentral:rRNA from 1 species